rnacentral:rRNA from 1 species
GAUGAACGCUGGCGGCGUGCCUAAUACAUGCAAGUCGAGCGAACAGAUGAGGAGCUUGCUCCUCUGACGUUAGCGGCGGACGGGUGAGUAACACGUGGAUAACCUACCUAUAAGACUGGGAUAACUUCGGGAAACCGGAGCUAAUACCGGAUAAUAUAUUGAACCGCAUGGUUCAAUAGUGAAAGACGGUUUUGCUGUCACUUAUAGAUGGAUCCGCGCCGCAUUAGCUAGUUGGUAAGGUAACGGCUUACCAAGGCAACGAUGCGUAGCCGACCUGAGAGGGUGAUCGGCCACACUGGAACUGAGACACGGUCCAGACUCCUACGGGAGGCAGCAGUAGGGAAUCUUCCGCAAUGGGCGAAAGCCUGACGGAGCAACGCCGCGUGAGUGAUGAAGGUCUUCGGAUCGUAAAACUCUGUUAUUAGGAAAGAACAAAUGUGUAAGUAACUAUGCACGUCUUGACGGUACCUAAUCAGAAAGCCACGGCUAACUACGU